UGGUGAACCAGCGGAGGGAUCAUUACUGAGUUUACGCUCUAUAACCCUUUGUGAACAUACCUAUAACUGUUGCUUCGGCGGGUAGGGUCUCCGUGACCCUCCCGGCCUCCCGCCCCCGGGCGGGUCGGCGCCCGCCGGAGGAUAACCAAACUCUGAUUUAACGACGUUUCUUCUGAGUGGUACAAGCAAAUAAUCAAAACUUUUAACAACGGAUCUCUUGGUUCUGGCAUCGAUGAAGAACGCAGCGAAAUGCGAUAAGUAAUGUGAAUUGCAGAAUUCAGUGAAUCAUCGAAUCUUUGAACGCACAUUGCGCCCGCCAGCAUUCUGGCGGGCAUGCCUGUUCGAGCGUCAUUUCAACCCUCAAGCUCUGCUUGGUGUUGGGGCCCUACAGCUGAUGUAGGCCCUCAAAGGUAGUGGCGGACCCUCCCGGAGCCUCCUUUGCGUAGUAACUUUACGUCUCGCACUGGGAUCCGGAGGGACUCUUGCCGUAAAACCCCCAAUUUUCCAAAGGUUGACCUCGGAUCAGGUAGGAAUACCCGCUGAACUUAAGCAUAUCAAUAAGCGGAGGAGGUC
rnacentral:rRNA from 1 species